rnacentral:hammerhead_ribozyme from 1 species
AACUAGCUGACGAGUCCCAAAUAGGACGAAAAUGCGCAUCCAGGU